rnacentral:tRNA from 1 species
GGGGUUGUGGCUCAGUGGUAGAGCACUUGCUUAGCAUGCAUGAGGCACUGGGUUUGAUCCCCCAAACCACA